GUGAGCGGCAAAAGCUCAAAUUUGAAACCCUCGGGAUUGUAAUUUGAAGAUUUGGCAUUGGAGAAAGCUAACCCAAGUUGCUUGGAAUAGUACGUCAUAGAGGGUGACAACCCCGUCUGGCUAACCGUUCUCCAUGUAUUGCCUUAUCAAAGAGUCGAGUUGUUUGGGAAUGCAGCUCAAAGUGGGUGGUAAACUCCAUCUAAAGCUAAAUACUGGUGAGAGACCGAUAGCGAACAAGUACUGUGAAGGAAAGGUGAAAAGAACUUUGAAAAGAGAGUGAAAUAGUAUGUGAAAUUGUUGAUAGGGAAGGAAAUGAGUGGAGAGUGGCCGAGGUUUCAGCCGCCCCUCGUGGGCGGUGUACUGCCGACGCCGAGUCAUCGAUAGCGAGACGAGGGUUACAAAUGGGAGCGCCUUUCGGGCGUUCUCCCCUAACCCUCCACACUGCCACCGACGACAUAAUCCACCCAUUUCACCCGUCUUGAA
rnacentral:rRNA from 1 species